ACCCAUGUUCUAAAAAUUAAUAUAUGCAUGUAAUUAUAUUAUGUGAACCAUGAGUUCAUAUUCUAAUCAAAGAUGCAAUUCAAUCUAUAGUACAAAAAGAAGGCCUAGCUAUACAUAUAUUGGAGUUUGUUUUAUACCCGUGUCAAUAUGCAAGCACAUGUAAUUCCAAAUGGAGCUAAUACAGAAAUUAAUUAGUAGUGCAACCACACAAAUAGUA
rnacentral:misc_RNA from 1 species